rnacentral:rRNA from 1 species
UACGGAGGGUGCGAGCGUUGUCCGGAAUCAUUGGGCGUAAAGGGUGCGUAGGCGGCGCGGUAAGUCGGGUGUGAAAUCUCGGAGCUUAACUCCGAAACUGCAUUCGAUACUGCCGUGCUUGAGGACUGGAGAGGAGACUGGAAUUUACGGUGUAGCGGUGAAAUGCGUAGAUAUCGUAAGGAAGACCAGUGGCGAAGGCGGGUCUCUGGACAGUUCCUGACGCUGAGGCACGAAGGUCAGGGGAGCAAACGGG